rnacentral:lncRNA from 1 species
ACCCUAGCUCUUCCGAAGCCCCUGCAUCCCAACUCAUCUCUCAUCCUAUUCUUCGGAUCAAUCCAGUGAACCCAAACUCCCAGCCGAUUCUAGCUCUCUUCCAUCCUUAUCCAAUCGCAAGAUCAACUCCCAGCAAAUCUUAGCAUCUGCAUCAAAGGAUCAAGUCUCCCCUAGCCGUGAGCUUCAUCCAAGAUCAUCCCCUGCUCCCAACCAAAAGAAAUCAAAAAUUCAAACCCAGCCGGUGAGCAUCUCUUCCUUAUCCGAAUCCCCUGUGUCGUGGAUUCUCUUCUUCUUCCGCGAUAAGAUCAGCUCCUCCCAGCCGAGAUCCCAACGUCUCUCCCCUGCAUCCAAUAGGUUCAUCUUCAUCUCCAAUUAGAAAUCCUUCAUCCUAAACCACCAAUCUUCAUCCCAACUGCAUUGUCUCCUGUUCCCGCAACCGUACGCGUCUUCCUCAUUUCUGGAUUUCCUCCCAGCUGCAACCGGCCAUCUCCCAGCAUCCCAGAUCUCCUCCGCGUCCGAGUAUUCCGUGGACAGUAUCUGGAUUAGUUCCAUCUCUAGCUUUUCCUCCUUCCACAGAUAACUCCCAGCUCAUUCC